rnacentral:rRNA from 1 species
CUCCUACGGGAGGCAGCAGUGAGGAAUAUUGGUCAAUGGCCGAGAGGCUGAACCAGCCACGUCUCGUGCUUUAAGACGGCCCUACGGGUUGUAAACCUCUUUUGUCGGGGAGCAAAGCGAGUCACGUGUGACUCAUUGAGAGUACCCGAAGAAAAAGCAUCGGCUAACUCCGUGCCAGCAGCCGCGGUAAUACGGAGGAUGCGAGCGUUAUCCGGAUUUAUUGGGUUUAAAGGGUGCGCAGGCGGAGGUGCAAGUCAGCGGUCAGAUUGCGGGGCUCAACCCCGUACUGCCGUUGAAACUG